AUGCUAUCAAGUUGAAAUCUGCCAAAGGCAUGAAAACAGCUGAUACAGACAUAGCACAUCGACGAGUGCAGAUUUCACAUAGUGGAAAAAAUAAGGAGACUUAUAAGUGCAUUAGAUUUUUGAUUCUGUGAUUCCGUGAUCUAGAUACUCCACAGUGUAGCCAUAGAAUGCUUUCAUGCUGUUUAUAUAUACGCACCUGCCUCACUGUCCCAGCCCCCAGAACCAUAGUGUGCCUGCCUCUGGUGUGUUCAAAAGCAAAGUUUGAAAAGAUACUAACUGCAGUGUGGUUGCUGCCCUACUGCUCAUCAUGUUGCUGUGUUCAGGAAUGUUCAUGACAGUCUUCUUUACAGCCUAGAGCAGCACUGUCCUGUUACACAGACUAGGAACUGAAGCAUAA